GGCUACACAGCCGUCGGCGAACAGCCCACAAAGGACGACGGAUCGGGCAGCCCGUACGCGGUGACCUUGCUGGAGAAGCACCUCGGUUAACUCACAGGGGUGAACCUCAUCGAUCACCCAAACGGCCCCUGAACAGGCGAUCUAGGCUCGCACCACAACAUCAAAUCGACGGCCCUCGGCUGGGACUGGCAUCCCAACCGAGGGCCUGACCAGCAAGGAAGGAUCAGCUUCCUC
rnacentral:ncRNA from 1 species